UACGUAGGGUGCGAGCGUUAAUCGGAAUUACUGGGCGUAAGGCGUGCGCAGGCGGUUCGUUGUGUCGGCGGUGAAAGCCCCGGGCUUAACCUGGGAAUGGCCGUCGAAACUGGCGAACUGGAGUGUGGCAGAGGGGGGUGGAAUUCCGCGUGUAGCAGUGAAAUGCGUAGAGAUGCGGAGGAACACCGAUGGCGAAGGCAGCCCCCUGGGCUGACACUGACGCUCAGGCACGAAAGCGUGGGGAGCAAACAGG
rnacentral:rRNA from 1 species